rnacentral:tRNA from 1 species
GCACUAGUAGCUCAGAACAGAGCACCGGUCUUGUAAACCGGAGGCCGGAGAUUGAAGCCCUCCCUACUGCU